rnacentral:rRNA from 1 species
UACGAAGGGGGCGAGCGUUAUUCGGAAUCACUGGGCGUAAAGCGUGCGUAGGCUGUUCUACAAGUCAGGCGUGAAAGCCCAAGGCUUAACCUUGGAAGCGCUCUUGAAACUGUAGGACUCGAGUUCGGGAGAGGAUAGCGGAAUUCUCAGUGUAGCAGUGAAAUGCGUAGAUAUUGAGAGGAACACCAGUGGCGCAAGCGGCUAUCUGGACCGACACUGACGCUGAGGCACGAAAGCGUGGGGAUCAAACAGG